ensembl:lncRNA
AUGGCCAAGGGGAAGAUCUCUUCUCCAUGUGGAUUCAAGCUGACAACACCACACUGGGAAGAAGAAGAAGCUGGGGAACGAAUAAAAGGGAAAAUUGAAGUCUUAAGCAAAAAAAGAAGCAUCUUUGUGCAUAUGUUAAUGUAUUUUCUGCAAGAGAACCAUGCUCAUUUAAAAGACUGUGUGAGUUAGAGUAUUUACCGCGUGCACUUGAUGCACAAACACAAUCUCGCCCUUCAGAUGGGGAGAGAGUGGUUUGUUUGCGUAGAUCCUUGCAUACGGUAAAAGUGAUUAUUCUUACAGGGUUGCCCCCUGCUAAUGCAAUAUCAAGUCCUGCUCUUGACUGUUGUUUCACUCUUGUGUAUGUCACAGAAACAGCAACACACAAGGCUUUAUUGUCACAUUUAGGGUGAUUUGUAUAGCAUAACAUUGCCACUUCUCAGGGUUUUUGUUUAUAGCACAAAAUACCCUGUUACACUUAACAAUAUGUCCUGAAGUCAGUUUUAACAAUAGAUGCUGCAUGACGUGGAACAUUAUGAACAAUAAGUGUAGACUUAAAUACAUGCCAUUUAGGUGGUGAUUAUUCAUACUAUUGCAACACAGAUGGUUGUGUGUGUAUGUGUUGGUACUGAAUAUGUGUGAGCGUGUAUAAAUAUAUGCACUGGGAGACAGAGUAUGAGUGUUUGAGUGUGUCGUUA